rnacentral:tRNA from 1 species
GGCUCCAUAGUGUAGUGGUUAGCACAUCUGCUUUACACAUAGAAGGUCCCGGGUUCGCACUCCAGGUGGAGUCA